CACCAACCAACCAACCAACCAACCUAUCCACCCACCCACUAACCAACUAACUAACCAGCCAACCUACUCCCCCAUACCCACCAACCAACUAACCAACCCACCCUCCCACCAACCAAUUAACCAGGCAACCCACUCACACCCCUCCCCUCCAACAACCAACAAACCAACCACCCCCUAUACAAACAGCUUUUGGUUGCACAUAACCAAAGCUGUUGUUGAGUGGGAAGUGGAGAUUGUCUAAUUAAUAAUCUGUUUUAUUCUUUUUCAGAUCACGUUGCACAGGGUACAUAAAGCUGAAUCAUCUGGGGGAAGUUUGCUAAAGACACAGAAUGCAAAGCCCCAUCUCACUCUUCUUGAAUCAGAAUGGCUGACUGUGGUGCUCAGGAAUUUGCAUGUUUAAUAAGUUUUCCCCGGGUGAUUCUAAUGAAUGCAACUUGAGUACUGUUUAGUAUAUGCUGAGUAUACCUGGAGCUUUGAUGUGCUGCAGGGAUUAGAAGAGUUUUCUGAUUUUGACCUUCCCAUUUUGAAAUAAGUAGAUUCACCAUUUUUUUUUUUUUUGGGAUGGAGUCUCACUCUGUCGCCCAGGCUGGAGUGCAGCGGCGCGAUCUCUACUCACUCACUGCAACCUCUGCCUCCUGGGUUCAAGAGAUUCUUCUGCCUCAGCCUCCUGAGUAGAGAUGGAGUUUCGCCAUGCUGGCCAGGCUGGUCUCGAACUCCUGACCUCGUGAUCCACCCACCUCGGCCUCCCAAAGUGCUAGGAUUACAAGCCUGGUGACCAAGUGGCUUAUUGUCCAUGAAGGGAGGUUUGUAAGAGGAAGGGAGGCUUGUAAGUAUCGCAUUUUAGGACACGCUGUGGAAGCCAGGACUGCCCUGCGCAGCAGCCACUGUGAACAGCUUGUGAUUCAUAUGUGUAGACUUUAAGAGCAAGAUCUUUAAGUUUUGGAAGAAA
rnacentral:lncRNA from 1 species